UACGUAGGGUGCGAGCGUUUGUCCGGAAUUAUUGGGCGUAAAGGGCUCGUAGGCGGUCUGUCACGUCGGGAGUGAAAACUCAGGGCUUAACCCUGAGCCUGCUUCCGAUACGGGCUGACUAGAGGUAUGCAGGGGGAGAACGGAAUUCCUGGUGUAGCGGUGAAAUGCGCAGAUAUCAGGAGGAACACCGGUGGCGAAGGCGGUUCUCUGGGCAUUACCUGACGCUGAGGAGCGAAAGUGUGGGGAGCGAACAGG
rnacentral:rRNA from 1 species